AGUCACGCUGUAAACGAUGUCGAUUUGGAGUUUGUUGCCUAGAGUGAUGGGCUCCGAAGCUAACGCGAUAAAUCGACCGCUGGGGAGUACGGCCGCAAGGUUAAAACUCAAAUGAAUUGACGGGGGCCCGCACAGCGGUGGAGCAUGUGGUUUAAUUCGAUGCAACGCGAAGAACCUUACCUGGUCUUGACAUCCAUAGAAUUCUGCAGAGAUGUGGGAGUGCCUUCGGGAACUAUGAGACAGGUGCUGCAUGGCUGUCGUCAGCUCGUGUUGUGAAAUGUUGGGUUAAGUCCCGCAACGAGCGCAACCCUUAUUCUUUGUUGCCAGCGAUUUGGUCGGGAACUCAAAGGAGACUGCCGUUGAUAAGGCGGAGGAAGGUGGGGACGACGUCAAGUCAUCAUGGCCCUUACGACCAGGGCUACACACGUGCUACAAUGGCGUAUACAAAGGGAAGCGAAGGUGCGAGCUGGAGCGGAUUUCAUAAAGUACGUCUAAGUUCGGAUUGGAGUCUGCAACUCGACUCCAUGAAGUCGGAAUCGCUAGUAAUCGUAGAUCAGAAUGCUACGGUGAAUACGUUCCCGGGCCUUGUACACACCGCCCGUCACACCAUGGGAGUGGGUUGCACCAGAAGUAGAUAGCUUAACCGCGAGGGGGGCGUUUACCACGGUGUGAUUCAUGACUGGGGUGAAGUCGUAACAAGGUAACCA
rnacentral:rRNA from 1 species